rnacentral:rRNA from 1 species
CCUACGGGGGGCUGCAGUGGGGAAUAUUGGACAAUGGGGGCAACCCUGAUCCAGCCAUGCCGCGUGUGUGAAGAAGGCCCUCGGGUUGUAAAGCACUUUCAGUGAGGAAGAACGCCUGGUGGUUAAUACCCAUCAGGAAAGACAUCACUCACAGAAGAAGCACCGGCUAACUCCGUGCCAGCAGCCGCGGUAAUACGGAGGGUGCGAGCGUUAAUCGGAAUUACUGGGCGUAAAGCGCGCGUAGGUGGCUUGAUAAGCCGGUUGUGAAAGCCCCGGGCUCAACCUGGGAACGGCAUCCGGAACUGUCAAGCUAGAGUGCAGGAGAGGAAGGUAGAAUUCCCGGUGUAGCGGUGAAAUGCGUAGAGAUCGGGAGGAAUACCAGUGGCGAAGGCGGCCUUCUGGACUGACGCUGACACUGAGGUGCGAAAGCGUGGGUAGCAAACAGGAUUAGAUACCCCAGUAGUC